AUAAAAUCAAGUCCAAAUCAAGUCCAUUUACCUCCCCAUCUGACAAAGAUGCUGAAUUCAGAUGAAAACAGAAACAUAUCCUGACUCGUUCCUUCCUGCAGCCACGGCUUCCACUACACAAAAAUGACACAUUUGUGGUGGAAAAAACGGAGAAAGGUUCCGAGCCAUCGGCAGACAGCAGGGAACAGAAGAAAGCUGCUCCACAGAAGGGAAUCAUGUUUGAGAUCCGAUUGGAUGGAAGAGAGGCCGAAGGUUUUGUGAAGGAUCAAGAAGGCAGAGGAAAUGAGGAAUCACACAUAUUCAAUCAGACUCUGACCUUCAAUGAAAAUGAGAAGUUAACGUUUAGGAUUUGGCAGGAGAAGAGGAAGGAGUGGAGCCACAGGACUCCUCACACUCUGUUGGACGCUCUCAGCAACAUGGACGUCAACUCCCUCUGUUGGACAGCUCAUGAAGAAAAGCAAGAUGAGGAGGUGGCAGCUCGCAGACAUUGGACCAAAGGUGUCCCCAACACUCUGCUUAAUGCCCUGGCUCAGGCUGACCUCAUGUCAUCAACUCUGGGUUCAGUGAAUAUAGAACCAGCGCAGGGUACGGAAGAAGUUCAGGGGGAAACGAGGACUAAUGAGAAGAAAGAAGAAAUAGAAAGAUCUGCUGAUGAAGGGGAAUCUGACGUGGAGCUGGACGAUGAGCAUCUGGACUCAAGAUCAGACACGUCCUUUGAGGAGUCAGAAGACGAGCUGCAAGAGGCGGUUGCAGACAUCAUGAGGUGUCUGUUUGUCAAAGAGGACACAGGUUCACACAACAACACAGAGGAAAUGGCCGCAGGGGCUGAUGGGACAAAGGAAGAGGCGAUGGAUGGUUCCAAAGAGACUCAAGCAGAGACGAUAGUUUCACUCAGAGACAUCACGGCUGAGUCAUUGAAGCUCGCUGGCUCUGAGGCGGAUGGUUCUCUAUAGUGUUCAGGUGAUUUCCAAAGAGAAGACCACACAGCUUUAGAUAAACAGGAUUGUCACUGACACAAUAUGCCUCCAAUGAUGCCUUAAGUUAACACCCGUCUUUACCCAAUGUGUGCUUUGAGUGUGGGUUAGUGGAGGAGAAUGGCAGCAAAACAAAUGUAUAUGGUUAUUUUUAUUGAUUCUUGUCCAACUCUUCUUGACAUUUCAAAGUGUUUCAUUUUGGUGUAUUUUGUUGUAAAAAUGUACGUGACUGCCCUCUAUGGGCUGAGAAUGGUUGUUCUAGAUGUUUUUGAGCAGAAAUGUGAUAUCACUGACUGAUAUCAACCAUAGUUAAGCUCUUCUAGUGCUACAAAAUUGAGAACAUGUACUCAAUUUUGGCUUACUAGCACACGAGUAGACUUUACCAGUCAAGUAGUGUAACUAGUAGUACUAGUGAAGCAAAAAGUCUCUCUACUAAAUUUACUAGUCAGGCAAAAUGUGUCACUAGUAAGCCUUGUAUGCUAAUUAAGGGGUGGGGAAAAGCAAAUUCAGGUUUGACAUUGGCUUUUGAAAAUUUUACAACCAAUCCAAGGAGCUGGAUUUAGUUAUAAUCCCUCCUACUGUAUUUACAUUAAGGCUACUAGUACUAAUUGUGAAUCAUUUGGCUUUACUAGUGAGAUUUUGAGUACACUAGUAAAAAAUGUGUUCUCCACGUAAAUGAAUGUGGUGCAAUAGUGCAAACUUUACUAGUAAAGCUAAUAUGUCCAUUAGUAGACAAUUUAUGUUCAGUGUUACUAGUAGUACUAGUAGAUUUAAAAUAUGUUACAGUAAAAAAGAAAAAUGACACCCGUCAGCCAAAACCUUGGAGUUUAGUUCCUUUUUAAGUGGUAAUCUUUAACACACUUGUAAAAAUAAAAGCACAGGCAUAGACUAAUGGUUUGAUACA
ensembl:lncRNA